CAUCUACUGUUUCCGUCCGGAAAUACUUGCAACCAAAAUGAAUAAAAGAGGAUGUAUAUGAAUGUAUUUUAGUUCUAGAUAUAUUCUUUUUUGUCUAUUUUGAUGACAAAUAUUUUCAAACGGAGGGAGUACAAG
rnacentral:pre_miRNA from 1 species